AACGAACGCUGGCGGCAUGCCUAACACAUGCAAGUCGAACGAGACCUUCGGGUCUAGUGGCGCACGGGUGCGUAACGCGUGGGAACCUGCCCUUAGGUUCGGAAUAACUCCCCGAAAGGGGUGCUAAUACCGGAUAAUGUCUUCGGACCAAAGAUUUAUCCCCUUUGGAUGGGCCCGCGUUGGAUUAGCUAGUUGGUAGGGUAAAAGCCUACCAAGGCGACGAUCCAUAGCUGGUCUGAGAGGAUGAUCAGCCACACUGGGACUGAGACACGGCCCAGACUCCUACGGGAGGCAGCAGUGGGGAAUAUUGGACAAUGGGCGAAAGCCUGAUCCAGCAAUGCCGCGUGAGUGAUGAAGGCCUUAGGGUUGUAAAGCUCUUUUACCCGGGAUGAUAAUGACAGUACCGGGAGAAUAAGCUCCGGCUAACUCCGUG
rnacentral:rRNA from 1 species